rfam:Oryza glumipatula chromosome 10, whole genome shotgun sequence.
AGGCCGAUGAUGCUAAUCAUGCUCCUAUGGUCUUGACCAAGAAGCUGAGGAUUCUCUAAGAAUGUUUCCCAAGAGCUGAGGCCC